AUACGGAGGAUCCGAGCGUUAUCCGGAUUUAUUGGGUUUAAAGGGUGCGCAGGCGGCCAUUUAAGUCAGCGGUUAAAUCGUGGGGCUCAACCCCAUUCUGCCGUUGAUACUGGGUGGCUUGAUUGCGGUCGAGGUUGGCGGAAUUCGUUGUGUAGCGGUGAAAUGCAUAGAUAUGACGAAGAACACCGAUUGCGGAGGCAGCUGACCAGACCGCAAAUGACGCUCAUGCACGAAAGUGCGGGGAUCGAACAGGAGUAGAUACCCUGGUAGUCCGCACAGUAAACGAUGAAUACUUGUUUUCGGCGAUAUAAUGUCGGAGGCAAAGCGAAAGCGAUAAGUAUUCCACCUGGGGAGUACGCCGGCAACGGUGAAACUCAAAGGAAUUGACGGGG
rnacentral:rRNA from 1 species